rnacentral:rRNA from 1 species
GAUGAACGCUAGCUACAGGCUUAACACAUGCAAGUCGAGGGGCAGCAUUUCAGUUUGCUUGCAAACUGGAGAUGGCGACCGGCGCACGGGUGAGUAACACGUAUCCAACCUGCCGAUAACUCGGGGAUAGCCUUUCGAAAGAAAGAUUAAUACCCGAUGGCAUAAUUAGACCGCAUGGUCUUAUUAUUAAAGAAUUUCGGUUAUCGAUGGGGAUGCGUUCCAUUAGGCAGUUGGUGAGGUAACGGCUCACCAAACCUUCGAUGGAUAGGGGUUCUGAGAGGAAGGUCCCCCACAUUGGAACUGAGACACGGUCCAAACUCCUACGGGAGGCAGCAGUGAGGAAUAUUGGUCAAUGGGCGCAGGCCUGAACCAGCCAAGUAGCGUGAAGGAUGACUGCCCUAUGGGUUGUAAACUUCUUUUAUAUGGGAAUAAAGUUUUCCACGUGUGGAAUUUUGUAUGUACCAUAUGAAUAAGGAUCGGCUAACUCCGUGCCAGCAGCCGCGGUAAUACGGAGGAUCCGAGCGUUAUCCGGAUUUAUUGGGUUUAAAGGGAGCGUAGGUGGACAGUUAAGUCAGUUGUGAAAGUUUGCGGCUCAACCGUAAAAUUGCAGUUGAUACUGGCUGUCUUGAGUACAGUAGAGGUGGGCGGAAUUCGUGGUGUAGCGGUCAAAUGCUUAGAUAUCACGAAGAACUCCGAUUGCGAAGGCAGCUCACUGGACUGCAACUGACACUGAUGCUCGAAAGUGUGGGUAUCAAACAGGAUUAGAUACCCUGGUAGUCCACACAGUAAACGAUGAAUACUCGCUGUUUGCGAUAUACAGUAAGCGGCCAAGCGAAAGCAUUAAGUAUUCCACCUGGGGAGUACGCCGGCAACGGUGAAACUCAAAGGAAUUGACGGGGGCCCGCACAAGCGGAGGAACAUGUGGUUUAAUUCGAUGAUACGCGAGGAACCUUACCCGGGCUUAAAUUGCAUUUGAAUAUAUUGGAAACAGUAUAGCCGUAAGGCAAAUGUGAAGGUGCUGCAUGGUUGUCGUCAGCUCGUGCCGUGAGGUGUCGGCUUAAGUGCCAUAACGAGCGCAACCCUUAUCUUUAGUUACUAACAGGUCAUGCUGAGGACUCUAGAGAGACUGCCGUCGUAAGAUGUGAGGAAGGUGGGGAUGACGUCAAAUCAGCACGGCCCUUACGUCCGGGGCUACACACGUGUUACAAUGGGGGGUACAGAAGGCAGCUACCUGGUGACAGGAUGCUAAUCCCAAAAGCCUCUCUCAGUUCGGAUCGAAGUCUGCAACCCGACUUCGUGAAGCUGGAUUCGCUAGUAAUCGCGCAUCAGCCAUGGCGCGGUGAAUACGUUCCCGGGCCU